UACGAAGGGUGCAAGCGUUACUCGGAAUUACUGGGCGUAAAGCGUGCGUAGGCGGUUCGUUAAGUCUGCUGUGAAAGCCCUGGGCUCAACCUGGGAACUGCAGUGGAUACUGGCGGACUAGAGUGUGAUAGAGGAUGGUGGAAUUCCCGGUGUAGCGGUGAAAUGCGUAGAGAUCGGGAGGAACACCAGUGGCGAAGGCGGCCAUCUGGAUCAACACUGACGCUGAGGCACGAAAGCGUGGGGAGCAAACAGG
rnacentral:rRNA from 1 species